rnacentral:rRNA from 1 species
GACGAACGCUGGCGGCGUGCUUAACACAUGCAAGUCGAACGGAAAGGCCCUGCUUUGGUGGGGUGCUCGAGUGGCGAACGGGUGAGUAACACGUGGGUAACCUGCCCUUGACUUUGGGAUAACUUCGGGAAACUGGGGCUAAUACCGGAUAGGAGCUACUGCUGCGUGGUGGGGGGGGAAGAUUUUCGGCGGUUGGGGAUGGACUCGCGGCAUAUCAGCUUGUUGGUGGGGUAGUGGCCUACCAAGGCUUUGACGGGUAGCCGGCCUGAGAGGGUGACCGGCCACAUUGGGACUGAGAUACGGCCCAGACUCCUACGGGAGGCAGCAGUGGGGAAUAUUGCACAAUGGGCGGAAGCCUGAUGCAGCAACGCCGCGUGCGGGAUGACGGCCUUCGGGUUGUAAACCGCUUUCGCCUGUGACGAAGCGUGAGUGACGGUACUGGGUUAGGAAGCACCGGCUAACUACGUG